rnacentral:rRNA from 1 species
AAGGAAUAUUGGGCAAUGGUCGGAAGACUGACCCAGCCAUGCCGCGUGCAGGAAGAAGGCCCUAUGGGUUGUAAACUGCUUUAGCCAGGGGCUAAACCUACCGAUGCGUUGGUAGCUGAAGGUACCUGGAGAAUAAGCAUCGGCUAACUCCGUGCCAGCAGCCGCGGUAAUACGGAGGAUGCGAGCGUUAUCCGGAUUUACUGGGUUUAAAGGGUGCGCAGGCGGUUGUUUAAGUCAGGGGUGAAAGCCCUAUGCUCAACAUAGGGAUUGCCUUUGAUACUGAACGGCUAGAGUGAAGAUGGAGUGGGUGGAAUGUGUUGUGUAGCGGUGAAAUGCAUAGAUAUAACACAGAACACCGAUCGCGAAGGCAGCUCACUAAUUUUCAACUGACGCUCAUGCACGAAAGCGUGGGGAUCAAAC